UACGUAGGGCGCAAGCGUUUAUCCGGAAUUAUUGGGCGUAAAGAGCUCGUAGGCGGUUUGUCGCGUCUGCUGUGAAAGUCCGAGGCUCAACCUCGGAUCUGCAGUGGGUACGGGCAGACUAGAGUGUGGUAGGGGAGACUGGAAUUCCUGGUGUAGCGGUGGAAUGCGCAGAUAUCAGGAGGAACACCAAUGGCGAAGGCAGGUCUCUGGGCCACUACUGACGCUGAGAAGCGAAAGCAUGGGGGAGCGAACAGG
rnacentral:rRNA from 1 species